GAUUUCUUCGCUGAUUGUUGAUAGAAUCGGAAAUCUGAAGUUACCACGAGGAUCGUGGAAGGAUUCUCUACAAUUUCUACAGAUCGGAAUCUCGUUUCGGAGAUUUUCGGGUUUCGGCAUAAAAUUAAGGAACUCCAGCCACCAGCGAGCCUUUCAGACCCCCCUGGUGCGGCACCAAACCUACGGAUCAGCGUCCUCUACCCCUAAGUCUCGCUGAUCAGGGUAAAGUCCGGAUUGCGGACAUGACUUUUGUGUAUCAGUUGGACAUUCGGCCAAUCCAACUCUCACAAUCUACAGGCGUGGCUUGAAGAGGAAUAUACCGUCCUGUAAGGUGUACCGAUUUGGCUCUAACCUGGUUAGGUGAGCUGAGGAGACUCCGCCUCGUAAGGAAAACCAGUUUGGCCUAAUUUGGUGAAUUGAGUUAAGGAGACUCCGUCUCGUAAGGAGAACUGGUUUGGCUUCGCCCGUAAGUGAGCCGAGGAAACUCUGUCUUGUAGGGAGUAUUAUAAAUGGCGUCACUCUGCUUGAUUAAGCGAGCACUUAGUGGAAUCCUUGAGCUGGGACUUGAGGCGAGGAUGUAAGCAGAAUUGACCGAACCUCGAUAACAAAUAAUGUGUCUCUUUCUUUCCCUACGGUAGCUAUUUAAUUUCCCCACAUGUAUGUUUGAUUAUUUAUCGUGAUUAAUUGUUUUACAUACAUGUUUUAAUUAUUUGGGGAUUUGAGUUUGCAUAG